rnacentral:rRNA from 1 species
GACGAACACUGGCGGCGUGCUUAACACAUGCAAGUCGAACGAGAAAUUAGCGAGUAGACGAUUCGUCUGAAGCAAGCUAAUGGAAAGUGGCGGACGGGUGAGUAACGCGUGAGCAAUCUGCCUUUCAGAGGGGGAUAACAGCCGGAAACGGCUGCUAAUACCGCAUGACGCAUGACUGGGGCAUCCCGGACAUGCCAAAGAUUUUAUCGCUGAAAGAUGGCCUCGCGUCUGAUUAGCUGGUUGGUGAGGUAACGGCCCACCAAGGCGACGAUCAGUAGCCGGACUGAGAGGUUGACCGGCCACAUUGGGACUGAGAUACGGCCCAG